rnacentral:ribozyme from 13 species
AAUGAAGUCCGUUUGUAUUUUUUGUUUUUUUAUUAUUUUGGUACUAUAUAAAGAAAGAUGAAGGAACUUAUAUCAUAACAAGACCUCAUUUAUU